UGCAAGUCGAGGGGUAACGGGGAUUGCUUGCAAUCCGCCGACGACCGGCGCACGGGUGCGGAACGCGUAUCGAACCUGCCCCCUUCAGGAGGAUAGCCCAUGGAAACGUGGAUUAAUACUCCAUAGUACCAAGAUGUUGCAUGACAUCCUGGUUAAGGAUUUAUCGGAAGGGGAUGGCGAUGCGUGCCAUUAGUUAGUUGGUAAGGUAACGGCUUACCAAGGCAGCGAUGGCUAGGGGCCCUGAGAGGGGGAUCCCCCACACUGGUACUGAGACACGGACCAGACUCCUACGGGAGGCAGCAGUGAGGAAUAUUGGACAAUGGUGGGAACACUGAUCCAGCCAUGCCGCGUGCAGGAUGACUGCCCUAUGGGUUGUAAACUGCUUUUAUACGGGAAGAAACCCAGGUACGAGUACCUGGCUGACGGAACCGUAAGAAUAAGGACCGGCUAACUCCGUGCCAGCAGCCGCGGUAAUACGGAGGGUCCGAGCGUUAUCCGGAAUUAUUGGGUUUAAAGGGUCCGUAGGCGGGCCAAUAAGUCAGAGGUGAAAGGCCACGGCUCAACCGUGGGACUGCCUUUGAUACUGUUGGUCUUGAGUCAUAGUGGGGUUGCCGGAACAUGUGGUGUAGCGGUGAAAUGCAUAGAUAUCACAUAGAACACCGAUCGCGAAGGCAGGUGGCCAACUAUGUACUGACGCUGAUGGACGAAAGCGUGGGGAGCGAACGGGAUUAGAUACCCCGGUAGUCCACGCCGUAAACGAUGGAUACUAGCUGUGGGGCAUUC
rnacentral:rRNA from 1 species